AGUGAACGCUGGCGGUAGGCCUAACACAUGCAAGUCGAACGGCAGCACAGUAAGAGCUUGCUCUUACGGGUGGCGAGUGGCGGACGGGUGAGGAAUACAUCGGAAUCUACUUUUUCGUGGGGGAUAACGUAGGGAAACUUACGCUAAUACCGCAUACGACCUACGGGUGAAAGCAGGGGAUCUUCGGACCUUUCGCGAUUGAAUGAGCCGAUGUCGGAUUAGCUAGUUGGGGGGGUAAAGGCCCACCAAGGCGACGAUCCGUAGCUGGUCUGAGAGGAUGAUCAGCCACACUGGAACUGAGACACGGUCCAGACUCCUACGGGAGGCAGCAGUGGGGAAUUUUGGACAAAGGGCGCAAGCCUGAUCCAGCCAUACCGCGUGGGUGAAGAAGGCCUUCGGGUUGUAAAGCCCUUUUGUUGGGAAAGAAAAGCAGCAGGUUAAUACCCCGCUGUUCUGACGGUACCCAAAGAAUAAGCACCGGCUAACUUCGUG
rnacentral:rRNA from 1 species